GAUGAACGCUGGCGGCGUGCCUAACACAUGCAAGUCGAGCGAUUCUCUUCGGAGAAGAGCGGCGGACGGGUGAGUAACGCGUGGGUAACCUGCCCUGUACACACGGAUAACAUACCGAAAGGUAUGCUAAUACGAGAUAAUAUACUUUUAUCGCAUGGUAGAAGUAUCAAAGCUUUUGCGGUACAGGAUGGACCCGCGUCUGAUUAGCUAGUUGGUAGGUAACGGCUUACCAAGGCGACGAUCAGUAGCCGACCUGAGAGGGUGAUCGGCCACAUUGGAACUGAGACACGGUCCAAACUCCUACGGGAGGCAGCAGUGGGGAAUAUUGCACAAUGGGCGAAAGCCUGAUGCAGCAACGCCGCGUGAGCGAUGAAGGCCUUCGGGUCGUAAAGCUCUGUCCUCAAGGAAGAUAAUGACGGUACUUGAGGAGGAAGCCCCGGCUAACUACGUGCCAGCAGCCGCCGCAG
rnacentral:rRNA from 1 species